AGAGAAGCUUUGACAUCUAUAAAAUCUUUCCUUUUGAACAUGAUGAUCAUCAGAUGUGAUGUAACAAUGGCUUUGAAGUCAGUCUGAGACAGUUUACACCUUCAAAACACUGUCUUAAACCAACGACAGCUGUCUUCUGUUUUGGAAAACAUCCGUGGAAUCACGAGAUUAUGAGUUCGGAUGUGCAGUUCCUGGUUUGGAUGAAACGUUCGCAUCUGCAGUUAAUUCUGAAGAGUGGAGGACGCUGAUCUCCGUGGCUUCUUCUUGAUAACGCAAAUCCAAUCCCUAGAGCAAGUGCACAGGGAGCCAUGCUAUAAGAAAGGAUUUACGCUCCAGGGAACCAACUUCCUGGUACACCCCGAAUGUUUUUGGUUUAACCUGACUGUAAACUUGUCAUGUAAGAUUGUUCCAGUAAUAAUUCAUAAUUGUCUGCAAUGCUGUUUCAGCGUUUGGGUGUCGAAACACCUGGUUCCAUUUGGGAAACGGUUUUGUCAGCAUGUGUCCUGCUGUGGUAGAAGUGUGCAGUCCCCAAAACUUGGGCGAACUUAUCAGGUUUCAAGUAUGGUCUUGUAGUUUCAGUAGGGUAACAGAUAUAUUUUGACAAUAGUUGACCGCAGACGGUGACUCUUACCAUGUGCAAUGUCCUGCUGAGGACCUAAUCCUCACACGUUCCUCUCAAGUCCAGCGAGAUAGCGUUUAAGUGUCUAAAGUUCAUUAAGCAGACGUUAACUCUUUGAGGGGAAGCUUUUGUCAAAGGUUUCAGCAUUUGGACGCAGAAUUGUGAGUUCUCACCUUGUAUUUAAUGAUAUUAGUGGCCCAUCAACUGUGUCUACCUCACACUUGCUUGUGAUACAUGCAUCUAAUACUUUCUUAUAGAAGCCAUAUUAUGGCGUUUUACAAAGUCUUGAUUUUGUUUUUUGGGUUAUCUAGAACUGGUUUUCAUGCUUGAAUGU